rnacentral:tRNA from 1 species
GUCUCAGUGGCGUAGUGGUUAGCCGGUUCAUGAGCCCCGGUUAGGUGCGCGAAACGUGGGUUCGAAUCCCGCCUGAGAUG